rnacentral:rRNA from 1 species
AAGUCGUAACAAGGUUUCCGUAGGUGAACCUGCGGAAGGAUCAUUAAUGAGUUGUGAUGGGGUUUGAUGCUGGCAGCCAAUUUUUGGAUGCAUGUGCUUGCCCUAACAAUCAUCUUCCAAACACCUGUGCACAUUUUUGAGGGAGUUUCGAGUUUUAUUGCCGUUUUUGGUGAUUUUCUUGUAUUCCCUUGAAUUAUUAUACGCUGUUAACAAUGAUGAACGUGCUCUGUGCCGCAAGGCCAUUAAUAUAAUACAACUUUUAACAACGGAUCUCUUGGCUCUCGCAUCGAUGAAGAACGCAGCGAAAUGCGAUAAGUAAUGUGAAUUGCAGAAUUCAGUGAAUCAUCGAAUCUUUGAACGCACCUUGCGCUCCCUGGUAUUCCGGGGAGCACGCCUGUUCGAGUGUCGCGAAAUUUCUCAAGCUUGGAUGGCCUUUUUGUCUGUCCUUAGCCUUGGUUGUUGGGCUUUGCCGUGUCCUUUGUUGGGACGGCUGGCCUUAAAAGCAUUAGCUGAUCCUCGUGUGGCACUGGUUCUACUCAGCGUGAUAACAGUCUGAUCGCUGAGGACAUCUUUUGGGAUGGCCAGUUCUCAUUUGGGUUGCUUCCAAACUUGGUUUUGCAGAUUCUUCAAUCUGUGUUCCACUUUUCAGCUUUGACCUCGAAUCAGGUGGGACUACCCGCUGAACUUAAGCAUAUCAAUAAGCGGAGGAAAAGAAACUAACAAGGAUUCCCCUAGUAACGGCGAGUGAAGCGGGAAGAGCUCAAAUUUAAAAUCUGGCAAUCUUUGGUUGUCCGAAUUGUAAUCUAGAGAAGCGUUUUCCGUGCUGGACUGUGUACAAGUUUCCUGGAUACGGAACAUCAUAGAGGGUGAGAAUCCCGUCCUUGACACAGACUCCCAGCACUUUUGUGAUGCGCUCUCGACGAGUCGAGUUGUUUGGGAUUGCAGCUCAAAAUGGGAGGUAAAUUCCUUCUAAAGCUAAAUAUUGGCGAGAGACCGAUAGCGAACAAGUACCGUGAGGGAAAGAUGAAAAGCACUUUGGAAAGAGAGUUAAACAGUACGUGAAAUUGUUAAAAGGGAAACGCUUGAAGUCAGUCACGUUUGCUUGGACUCAGCCUUACUUCGGUUUGGUGCAUUUCCUUGCAGACGGGCCAGCGUCCAUGUCAAUUGCCGGAAAAGGGGUGAGAGAAUGUGGCUCCUUUGGGAGUGUUAUAGCUCUCACUCGUAUGCGGGGAAUGAUAUGGAGUGGUACAGCACACUUCGGUGGUGCUUGUGCUGGCAUAAUGGCUUUAAACGACC